rnacentral:rRNA from 1 species
CAGCAGCCACGGUAAUACGUAGGUGGCAAGCGUUGUCCGGAAUUAUUGGGCGUAAAGGGCUCGCAGGCGGUUUCUUAAGUCUGAUGUGAAAGCCCCCGGCUCAACCGGGGAGGGUCAUUGGAAACUGGGAAACUUGAGUGCAGAAGAGGAGAGUGGAAUUCCACGUGUAGCGGUGAAAUGCGUAGAGAUGUGGAGGAACACCAGAGGCGAAGGCGACUCUCUGGUCUGCAACUGACGCUGAGGAGCGAAAGCGUGGGGAGCGAACAGGAUUAGAUACCCCUGUAGUCCCUGUCUCUUAUAA